rnacentral:rRNA from 1 species
UACGGGGGAUGCAAGCGUUAUCCGGAAUUAUUGGGCGUAAAGGGUCCUGAGGUGGCUAGCCAAGUCUAUUGUGAAAUAUCAGGGCUUAACCCUGAACAUGCGGUGGAAACUAGAAAGCUUGAGUACAGUAGGGGCGGAGGGAAUUUCCGGUGGAGCGGUGAAAUGCAUAGAUAUCGGGAAGAACACCAACGGCGAAAGCACUCCGCUGGGCUGAUACUGACACUGACAGACGAAAGCUAGGGUAGCGAAAGGGAUUAGAUACCCCUGUAGUCUUAGCCGUAAACGAUGGACACUAACUAUUGAAUGAAAUAAAAUCGUACAGUGGUGAAGCUAACGCGAUAAGUGUCCCGCCUGGGGAGUAUGCUCGCAAGGGUGAA